GACGUAGGGCGCGAGCGUUGUCCGGAUUUAUUGGGCGUAAAGAGCUCGUAGGCGGCUUGUCGCGUCGUUCGUGAAAACUUGGGGCUCAACCCCAAGCUUGCGGUCGAUACGGGCAGGCUAGAGUUCGGUAGGGGAGACUGGAAUUCCUGGUGUAGCGGUGAAAUGCGCAGAUAUCAGGAGGAACACCAAUUGCGAAGGCAGCUCGCUGGGACGUAACUGACGCUGAGACGCGAAAGCGUGGGGAGCAAACAGG
rnacentral:rRNA from 1 species